GGGGUGCAGCAGGCGCGAAAACUUUACAAUGCUGGCAACAGCGAUAAGGGAACCUCGAGUGCCAGGUUACAAAUCUGGCUGUCGAGAUGCCUAAAAAGCAUUUCAUAGCAAGGGCCGGGCAAAACCGGUGCCAGCCGCCGCGGUAACACCGGCGGCUCGAGUGGUAACCGUUAUUAUUGGGUCUAAAGGGUCUGUAUCCGGCCGGAUAAGUCUCUUGAAAAAUCUGGCAGCUUAACUGUCAGGCUUUCAGGAAUACUGUCUGGCUCGAGGCCGGGAAAGGUGAAAGGUACUUCAGGGGUAAGGGUGAAAUCUUGUAAUCCUUGAAGGACCACCAGUGGGGAAGGCGUUUCACCAAAACGGACCUGACGGCAAGGGACGAAAGCUAGGGCACGAACCGGAUUAAAUUACCCGGGUAGUCCUAAC
rnacentral:rRNA from 1 species